GGGGAUGUAGUUCAGUGGUAGAGCACUUGACUGACAUCCACAAGUCCUUGGGUCCCAUCCCCA
rnacentral:tRNA from 1 species